GACGAGGGGUCCAAGCGUUGUUCGGAAUCAUUGGGCGUAAAGCGGGUGUAGGUGGCUCUAUAAGUCAGAAGUGAAAGCCCCGGGCUUAACCCGGGAAGUGCUUUUGAUACUGCAGAGCUUGAAUGUGGGAGAGGGUAGUGGAAUUCCAGGUGUAGUGGUGAAAUACGUAGAUAUCUGGAGGAACACCGGUGGCGAAGGCGGCUACCUGGCCCAACAUUGACACUGAGACCCGAAAGCGUGGGGAGCGAACAGG
rnacentral:rRNA from 1 species